rnacentral:lncRNA from 12 species
GACAUCUGUGCCGGGCCUUCCCCAGCACCAGGCAGGGUUUGUGCGCGGUGGCGGGAGCCUCCGGGGCCUCCCAGGGGAGGUAGCGGGGCGCAGCCGGGCUAGGGGGGCCCUUUUGCGUGUCCAGGGGGCUGUGGGCAGCCCUCACAGGAGGGGGCUCGUGGGGGCCCCGGGAGCCCUGCGUGGGGCAGGGACAGGGCGUGUCUGCUUGAACCAUGAGACUUGGACCCCUCCCCAGAAGGGGAGAAAGCUGGGUGGGGGGUCCUGCAGCAGGUGCUCACGGUCACGCUUCCCAAGCACAAAGCCCCACCUCCAAGCCUUUGCCCCCACUAUUCCCCACCCCCCACCCCCUCAUGGUCUUCUCCUUUUAUUCAUUUCCUGCCACAAGCAUGAAUUGAGCACCUACUGUGUACCAAGCACUGCCCAAGCACCAGGAAGAUAGCAGCGACCCAAAUAGCCCCCAACAACCCCGCCCCCAAAACAAAAUGUCUCUGACCCUGGUGGGCUCGGCCUGAGAUUACCAAGUGGAUAAAUCAGAUAUUUUCAAAGACCAAGCACCGGGAAGGAAACAGAACAUGACCUGAUGGGAAAGGAAGGACCGGGAAGCUGCUUUAGCACGAGGCGGGUGGUGGUGGUGGGGGGUGUAGUAGUCAGGGAGGGGCUUUCAGAUGAGGUGGCAUUGGAGCUGAGAGGUGGCACAGGAGAAGAGCCAGCUGGGGGAAGAGUGAGGGGAAGGACAUUCUGGAGCGAGGGAACAGCAAGUGCAAAGGCCCUGAGGCGGGAUCGUGGCCGCCAAGAAGAGCAAGGAGGCUCCAGGGGCUGGAACCCCGUGAACAAGGGAUGGUCGGGCGCUGUGAGCAGCAGCCACCAUACGGCGGCGGCGAUGGGACACAGAGGACCCCACAAGGCUGUGGAUCUAGCCCUGUGUGCGGAGGGCUCUCUCUGCAGAAGGCCCCCCAGACGGGCGUGUGCAGGAUCUUCCUCAACAGACCUCCGAGCCGGGAGCAGCUGCGGGAGGCCGGUGCCCGCCUCGUUGGAGGUUUUGCGCGAUGCCAGCGUGUUGGAGAGCCUCCGCUUCCUCUGCCGCCAAGAGAGGGGCAUGGCUCCGGAGAGGUCUCUGCUCGCUCUCCCGGGGAGCUCAUCCAUCCUGCAGCUUCGGAGGUUCCUGCCCAGUGUGGCCUCGACCCUGAGCUGCUGUCUACACUCCAGACCCAGCUAGUCAGCACGUUCCCCCCUCGGGGCAGGACUGGAACCGAGAAUCUUCAUCACAGGGGCGGGUGGCUCAGCAGGUGAGCAUCUGCCUUCGGUUCAGGGCGUGACCCCAGGGUCCUGGGAUGAGUCCUGCAUCAGGCUCCCCACAGGGAGCCUGCUUCUCCCUCUGCCUGUGUCUCUGCCUCUCUCAUGAGUAAAUAGAUUUUUAAAAAAGAUUCUUCAUUGCCCACCCACACGUCCUCUUCUUGGCAAUGCCUGGUCACCUGCCUUGUUCCCUUGGUCCAAGACCCAGGCAUCCACCACCCCUCCUCCCACCUCCUGCCCAUCACCCAGCAGUCUCCGCAUCCCACUACUACCCUCCGCCCCCAUCCCCUCCUUUCCGUGUCCCCAUUCGUCUCCCUUCAUCUUAUCUCCGGAUGACAGAAACCAC